rnacentral:rRNA from 1 species
GACGAACGCUGGCGGCGUGCUUAACACAUGCAAGUCGAACGAUGAACUUGGAGCUUGCUCUGGGGGAUUAGUGGCGAACGGGUGAGUAACACGUGAGUAACCUGCCCUGGACUCUGGGAUAACUUCGAGAAAUCGGAGCUAAUACCGGAUAGGACCUUGCACCGCAUGGGGUGGGGUGGAAAGUUUUUCGGUUUGGGAUGGACUCGCGGCCUAUCAGCUUGUUGGUGAGGUAAUGGCUCACCAAGGCGUCGACGGGUAGCCGGCCUGAGAGGGUGACCGGCCACACUGGGACUGAGACACGGCCCAGACUCCUACGGGAGGCAGCAGUGGGGAAUAUUGCACAAUGGGCGCAAGCCUGAUGCAGCAACGCCGCGUGAGGGACGACGGCCUUCGGGUUGUAAACCUCUUUUAGUAGGGAAGAAGCGAAAGUGACGGUACCUGCAGAAAAAGCACCGGCUAACUACGUGCCAGCCGCCGCAGUAAUAC